AUACUUACCUGGACGGGGUCAAUGGGCGAUCAAGAAGGUCCAUGGCCUGGGGCUUCAUUGCACUUCGAAAGGGCGCCAAUCUAAGGUCGGCCCAGAUGGUCGACCCUACGUCAUAAUUUGUGGUAGCAGGGCUUGCGUGCGCGUGGCCCCUAC
rnacentral:snRNA from 1 species